rnacentral:rRNA from 1 species
GAUGAACGCUAGCGGCAGGCCUAACACAUGCAAGUCGAGGGGCAGCACAGAAACAGCAAUGUUUUGGUGGCGACCGGCGGACGGGUGCGUAACGCGUAUGCAACCUACCUUUAACAGGGGGAUAACGGAGAGAAAUUUCCACUAAUACCCCAUAACAUCGAUCAAGGCAUCUUGAUUGGUUGAAAACUCCGGUGGUUAAAGAUGGGCAUGCGUUGUAUUAGGUAGUUGGUGAGGUAAUGGCUCACCAAGCCUAAGAUACAUAGGGGGACUGAGAGGUUAGCCACCCACACUGGUAAGACGACACGGACCAGAAUCCUACGGGAGGCAGCAGUGAGGAAUAUUUGUCAAUGGGGGCAACACUGAACCAGCCAUGCCGCGUGCAGGAAGACGGCUCUAUGAGUUGUAAACUGCCUUUAAACAGGGAUAAAGCACAGUAUGUAUACUGUGUUGAAGGUACUGUAAGAAUAAGGAUCGGCUAACUCCGUGCCAGCCGCCGCCGUAA